rnacentral:rRNA from 1 species
CCAAUAGCGUAUAUUAAAGUUGUUGCAGUUAAAAAGCUCGUAGUUGAAUUUCGGGGUCAAUACGUCGGUCGUGCCUUCGGUACGUACUGGUGUUAUUGAUCUCUCCCUUCUGAUGAAUCAUGAUGUCAUUAAUUUGGUGUCGGGGGGAGUCAGGACUGUUACUUUGAAAAAAUUAGAGUGUUUAAAGCAGGCUCACGCUUGAAUAACUUAGCAUGGAAUAAUGAAAUAGGAUGUUCGAUCCUAUUUUGUUGGUUUCUAGGAUCAACGUAAUGAUUAAUAGGGAUAGUUGGGGGCAUUAGUAUUCAGUUGUCAGAGGUGAAAUUCUUGGAUUUAUUGAAGACUAACUACUGCGAAAGCAUUUGCCAAGGAUGUUUUCAUUAAUCAAGAACGAAAGUUAGGGGAUCGAAGACGAUCAGAUACCGUCGUAGUCUUAACCAUAAACUAUGCCGACUAGGGAUCGGAUGAUGUUAAUUUUUUAAUGACUCAUUCGGCGCCUUACG